rnacentral:lncRNA from 1 species
UGGUAUGUGGUGUCUUCAUUCCCCGUAGUUGUAUUAGUAGUCCCCGGUAAUAGGAGUCUUUCCCCAAGGAAGGAAGCCUUUUGAAUCUCCUUCAAGCAAGUAAAAGCUAGCAGUCAUAGGGUAAGCCCUUUUGUCAGCCGUUGAGCAUGUGAGUUCUUUUUUAGCCAGUUCGGAAAAAGAAAGUGCCAUUCCAUCUGCCUUCGAGCUCAGCUAAUCCCCAGCCCCUUAUUUUGCAGUU